UGGGGAAUAUUGGACAAUGGGGGCAACCCUGAUCCAGCAAUGCCGCGUGUGUGAUGAAGGCCCUAGGGUUGUAAAGCACUUUCGCCGAUGACGAUGAUGACGGUAGUCGGAUAAGAAGCCCCGGCUAACUCCGUGCCAGCAGCCGCGGUAAUACGGAGGGGGCGAGCGUUGUUCGGAAUUACUGGGCGUAAAGGGCGCGUAGGCGGCCAUGUCAGUUGGGAGUGAAAGCCCCGGGCUCAACCUGGGAACUGCUCUCAAUACUGCGUGGCUUGAGAACGGGAGAGGGUAGUGGAAUUCCCAGUGUAGAGGUGAAAUUCGUAGAUAUUGGGAAGAACACCAGUGGCGAAGGCGGCUGCCUGGCCCGUUUCUGACGCUGAGGCGCGAAAGCGUGGGGAGCAAACAGG
rnacentral:rRNA from 1 species